rnacentral:rRNA from 1 species
AGCAGCCGCGGUAAUUCCAGCUCCAAUAGCGUAUAUUAAAGUUGUUGCAGUUAAAAAGCUCGUAGUUGAAUUUUAGGCCUGGCCGGACGGUCCGUCUUUGGCGAGAACUGUUCUGUUGUCGGGUCUUCCUUCUGGUGAACCAGUAUGCCCUUAAUUGGGUGUGUUGGGGAGCCAGGACCAUUACCUUGAAAAAUUAGAGUGUUUAAAGCGGGCUAUUGCUUGAAUAGAUUAGCAUGGAAUAAUAGAAUAGGACGUUGUGGUUCUAUUUUGUUGGUUUCUAGGACCACCGUAAUGAUUAAUAGGGAUAGUUGGGGGCAUUAGUAUUCAAUUGUCAGAGGUGAAAUUCUUGGAUUUAUUGAAGACUAACUAUUGCGAAAGCAUUUGCCAAGGAUGUUUUCAUUAAUCAAGAACGAAAGUUAGGGGAUCGAAGACGAUCAGAUACCGUCGUAG